rnacentral:ncRNA from 2 species
GGUUCACGUUAGGGGUGCCGCCAGCGGUCUGCUGCGGCUGAGAGAGUCCCUUUGAACCUGUACGGGUCAUGCCGUCGUAGGGAAGCGGAGCGCAAGCCGA